rnacentral:rRNA from 1 species
GAGGGAGCCUGAGAAACGGCUACCACAUCCAAGGAAGGCAGCAGGCGCGCAAAUUACCCAAUCCCGAUACGGGGAGGUAGUGACAAUAAAUACUGAUACGGGGCUCUUUUGGGUCUCGUAAUUGGAAUGAGAACAAUUUAAAUCCCUUAACGAGGAACAAUUGGAGGGCAAGUCUGGUGCCAGCAGCCGCGGUAAUUCCAGCUCCAAUAGCGUAUAUUAAAGUUGUUGCAGUUAAAAAGCUCGUAGUUGAACCUUGGGUCUGGCUGGCCGGUCCGCCUCACCGCGAGUACUGGUCCGGCUGGACCUUUCCUUCUGGGGAACCCCAUGGCCUUCACUGGCUGUGGGGGGAACCAGGACUUUUACUGUGAAAAAAUUAGAGUGUUCAAAGCAGGCCUUUGCUCGAAUACAUUAGCAUGGAAUAAUAGAAUAGGACGUGCGGUUCUAUUUUGUUGGUUUCUAGGACCGCCGUAAUGAUUAAUAGGGAUAGUCGGGGGCGUCAGUAUUCAGCUGUCAGAGGUGAAAUUCUUGGAUUUGCUGAAGACUAACUACUGCGAAAGCAUUCGCCAAGGAUGUUUUCAUUAAUCAGGGAACGAAAGUUAGGGGAUCGAAGACGAUCAGAUACCGUCGUAGUCUUAACCAUAAACUAUGCCGACUAGGGAUCGGACGGGACUCUAUGAUGACCCG